GAAUCUCCUGCAGAUUUUAGACUGCACGAGAAUAUAUUCCAACCCCAAAAAAGUCAAUUCCUUCUUUUAUCACUAAUUAAUAAAUCCAACAAUUAGACUUCAAAUAUUCAAUAUACGGUUUAAUUAUUUUCGUCAAACAUUUAAUUUCAUAAUUGAAUUUUAUUUUAUAGCCUAAAAAAUAAUUUUUGGUUUUAAAAUUUUAAUUUUUUUUUAAUUGGAAGGAGGUUAAAUAUAGGCUUUUUUCGUUCCUUUUAAUAGAAAUAUA
rnacentral:misc_RNA from 1 species